GGUUUGGUCUAGCCUUUCUAUUAGCUGUCAGCAAAAUUACACAUGCAAGCCUCCGCCCUCCAGUGAGAAUGCCCUUAAAGUCAUCACAUUGACAAAAGGAGUUGGCAUCAAGUACACCAAUCAUGGUAGCUUAUAACGCCUUGCUAAGCCACACCCCCACGGGAUACAGCAGUGAUAAAAAUUAAGCUAUGAACGAAAGUUUGACUAAGUUAUGCUGACAUAGGGUUGGUCAAUUUCGUGCCAGCCACCGCGGUCAUACGAUUAGCCCAAGUUAAUAGACUAACGGCGUAAAGAGUGUUAAGGAUGUACAGAUAAAUAAAGCCAAGACUUAACUAAGAUGUAAAAAUCCUCAGUUAAAGUAAAAAUAUACUACGAAAGUGACUUUAAUAUAAUCUGAUUACACGAUAGCUAAGACCCAAACUGGGAUUAGAUACCCCACUAUGCUUAGCCCUAAACUAAGAUAAUCGAAAUAACAAGAUUAUCCGCCAGAGAACUACUAGCAACAGCUUAAAACUCAAAGGACUUGGCGGUGCUUUAUAUCCCUCUAGAGGAGCCUGUUCUGUAAUCGAUAAACCCCGAUAAACCUCACCAGCCCUUGCUAAUUCAGCCUAUAUACCGCCAUCUUCAGCAAACCCUUAAAAGGUAUAGUAGUAAGCACAAGUAUAAGCAUAAAAACGUUAGGUCAAGGUGUAGCUAAUGGACUGGGAAGAAAUGGGCUACAUUUUCUACACAACAGAAUAUUAUAACGAAAACCCUCAUGAAACCUGAGGGCUAAAGGAGGAUUUAGUAGUAAAUUAAGAAUAGAGUGCUUAA
rnacentral:ncRNA from 1 species